rnacentral:lncRNA from 12 species
UGCCCAGAAGAGGAUGUCAGAAGGGGGGUGCCACCCGGAAGAAGUACUCUGGGACAGCUGGCUACCCCAGAGCAGGACCAAGGAAGAUGCCAGGAGCGCCGCAACGCCCAUGAUGGAAAUCACCACACGCACCCAUAAGCCUCUUCGACCGAGAGAUCCACCAAACAAAGAAAAAACUUCAUAGACCACGAACCGACCCCAGACGUAGAUCCCAGACCACUGUACUUAACGAGCGAGAAGAUCAGCUCUGUAAAGCACCGAACUGUCUCUUCGCCAUCAUCUGCUGAGCAGCAGAUAGUAGAGACAUCCCUAGUACAACAAGCCCAUUUGAGAUCUUGGAUGUGUCCAUGAGACUGAGCAGUCCCAUCCCUACAUUUGUUGGGAUUGAGAGAAUCUCGUCCCCGCAUUGCCCAGGGCAAUAGCAGCAGGGGGCAUUGGC